rnacentral:rRNA from 1 species
GACGAACGCUGGCGGCGUGCUUAACACAUGCAAGUCGAACGAUGAACCCGGAGCUUGCUCCGGCGGAUUAGUGGCGAACGGGUGAGUAACACGUGAGUAACCUGCCCUUGACUCUGGGAUAACUGCGGGAAACUGUAGCUAAUACCGGAUACGACCCUCGGCGGCAUCGCCAGGGGGUGGAAAGAAUUUCGGUCAAGGAUGGACUCGCGGCCUAUCAGCCAGUUGGUGAGGUAACGGCUCACCAAGGCGACGACGGGUAGCCGGCCUGAGAGGGUGACCGGCCACACUGGGACUGAGACACGGCCGAGACUCCUACGGGAGGCAGCAGUGGGGAAUAUUGCACAAUGGGCGCAAGCCUGAUGCAGCAACGCCGCGUGAGGGAUGACGGCCUUCGGGUUGUAAACCUCUUUUAGUAGGGAAGAAGUGAAAGUGACGGUACCUGCAGAAAAAGCACCGGCUAACUACGUGCCAGCCGCCGCGGUAA